UUAAGCGACUAAGCGUACACGGUGGAUGCCCUGGCAGUCAGAGGCGAUGAAGGACGUGCUAAUCUGCGAAAAGCGUCGGUAAGGUGAUAUGAACCGUUAUAACCGGCGAUGUCCGAAUGGGGAAACCCAGUGUGAUUCGUCACACUAUCGUUAACUGAAUACAUAGGUUAACGAGGCGAACCGGGGGAACUGAAACAUCUAAGUACCCCGAGGAAAAGAAAUCAACCGAGAUUCCCCCAGUAGCGGCGAGCGAACGGGGAGCAGCCCAGAGUCUGAAUCAGCUUGUGUGUUAGUGGAACGGUCUGGAAAGUCCGACGGUACAGGGUGAUAGUCCCGUACACCAAAAUGCACAGGCUGUGAACUCGAAGAGUAGGGCGGGACACGUGGUAUCCUGUCUGAAUAUGGGGGGACCAUCCUCCAAGGCUAAAUACUCCUGACUGACCGAUAGUGAACCAGUACCGUGAGGGAAAGGCGAAAAGAACCCCGGCGAGGGGAGUGAAAAAGAACCUGAAACCGUGUACGUACAAGCAGUGGGAGCACCUUCGGGUGUGACUGCGUACCUUUUGUAUAAUGGGUCAGCGACUUAUAUUCUGUAGCAAGGUUAACCGUAUAGGGGAGCCGCAGGGAAACCGAGUCUUAACUGGGCGUUAAGUUGCAGGGUAUAGACCCGAAACCCGGUGAUCUAGCCAUGGGCAGGUUGAAGGUUGGGUAACACUAACUGGAGGACCGAACCGACUAAUGUUGAAAAAUUAGCGGAUGACUUGUGGCUGGGGGUGAAAGGCCAAUCAAACCGGGAGAUAGCUGGUUCUCCCCGAAAGCUAUUUAGGUAGCGCCUCGUGAACUCAUCUUCGGGGGUAGAGCACUGUUUCGGCUAGGGGGUCAUCCCGACUUACCAACCCGAUGCAAACUACGAAUACCGAAGAAUGUUAUCACGGGAGACACACGGCGGGUGCUAACGUCCGUCGUGAAGAGGGAAACAACCCAGACCGCCAGCUAAGGUCCCAAAGUCAUGGUUAAGUGGGAAACGAUGUGGGAAGGCACAGACAGCCAGGAUGUUGGCUUAGAAGCAGCCAUCAUUUAAAGAAAGCGUAAUAGCUCACUGGUCGAGUCGGCCUGCGCGGAAGAUGUAACGGGGCUAAACCAUGCACCGAAGCUGCGGCAGCGACACUAUGUGUUGUUGGGUAGGGGAGCGUUCUGUAAGCCUGCGAAGGUGACCUGUGAGGGUUGCUGGAGGUAUCAGAAGUGCGAAUGCUGACAUAAGUAACGAUAAAGCGGGUGAAAAGCCCGCUCGCCGGAAGACCAAGGGUUCCUGUCCAACGUUAAUCGGGGCAGGGUGAGUCGACCCCUAAGGCGAGGCCGAAAGGCGUAGUCGAUGGGAAACAGGUUAAUAUUCCUGUACUUGGUGUUACUGCGAAGGGGGGACGGAGAAGGCUAUGUUAGCCGGGCGACGGUUGUCCCGGUUUAAGCAUGUAGGCUGGUUAUCCAGGCAAAUCCGGAUAAUCAAGGCUGAGGUGUGAUGACGAGGCACUACGGUGCUGAAGUAACAAAUGCCCUGCUUCCAGGAAAAGCCUCUAAGCAUCAGGUAACAUCAAAUCGUACCCCAAACCGACACAGGUGGUCAGGUAGAGAAUACCAAGGCGCUUGAGAGAACUCGGGUGAAGGAACUAGGCAAAAUGGUGCCGUAACUUCGGGAGAAGGCACGCUGGUGUGUAGGUGAAGCCCCUGCGGGUGGAGCUGAGACCAGUCGAAGAUACCAGCUGGCUGCAACUGUUUAUUAAAAACACAGCACUGGUGCAAACACGAAAGUGGACGUAUACGGUGUGACGCCUGCCCGGUGCCGGAAGGUUAAUUGAUGGGGUUAUCCGUAAGGAGAAGCUCUUGAUCGAAGCCCCGGUAAACGGCGGCCGUAACUAUAACGGUCCUAAGGUAGCGAAAUUCCUUGUCGGGUAAGUUCCGACCUGCACGAAUGGCGUAAUGAUGGCCAGGCUGUCUCCACCCGAGACUCAGUGAAAUUGAACUCGCUGUGAAGAUGCAGUGUACCCGCGGCAAGACGGAAAGACCCCGUGAACCUUUACUAUAGCUUGACACUGAACAUUGAGCCUUGAUGUGUAGGAUAGGUGGGAGGCUUUGAAGCGUGGACGCCAGUCUGCGUGGAGCCAACCUUGAAAUACCACCCUUUAAUGUUUGAUGUUCUAACGUUGGCCCCUUACCGGGGUUGCGGACAGUGUCUGGUGGGUAGUUUGACUGGGGCGGUCUCCUCCCAAAGCGUAACGGAGGAGCACGAAGGUUAGCUAAUCCUGGUCGGACAUCAGGAGGUUAGUGCAAUGGCAUAAGCUAGCUUGACUGCGAGCGUGACGGCGCGAGCAGGUGCGAAAGCAGGUCAUAGUGAUCCGGUGGUUCUGAAUGGAAGGGCCAUCGCUCAACGGAUAAAAGGUACUCCGGGGAUAACAGGCUGAUACCGCCCAAGAGUUCAUAUCGACGGCGGUGUUUGGCACCUCGAUGUCGGCUCAUCACAUCCUGGGGCUGAAGUAGGUCCCAAGGGUAUGGCUGUUCGCCAUUUAAAGUGGUACGCGAGCUGGGUUUAGAACGUCGUGAGACAGUUCGGUCCCUAUCUGCCGUGGGCGCUGGAGAAUUGAGGGGGGCUGCUCCUAGUACGAGAGGACCGGAGUGGACGCAUCACUGGUGUUCGGGUUGUCAUGCCAAUGGCACUGCCCGGUAGCUAAAUGCGGAAGAGAUAAGUGCUGAAAGCAUCUAAGCACGAAACUUGCCCCGAGAUGAGUUCUCCCUGAGACUUUAAGUCUCCUGAAGGAACGUUGAAGACGACGACGUUGAUAGGCCGGGUGUGUAAGCGCAGCGAUGCGUUGAGCUAACCGGUACUAAUGAACCGUGAGGCUUAACCUU
rnacentral:rRNA from 1 species